CGAAUCUACUCUUGAAUCGAAUGCCCACUAUGCGGUGUGUGAAGCAUCUUUCCCCUGUUGUGCUUGCUUGAUCUUUUUCAGUUGUGCCUGCUUUACAUUCUCUUCUUCCUGCUUUCUUUCCCGAGUCUCAAGAGCAGCGGUGAGUUCCAGUCUUCAGCUUACGCAAGGGUCAAGAGCGAGUCCAGUCCAUAUUAGUCCAGGCCAUAGGGUCAAGAGCGAGUCCAGGCCAUAGGGUCAAGAGCGAGUCCAGGCCAUAUUAGUCCAGGCCAUAUUAAUAUUAUUGGCUAAAAUGCACCAGAGGGAUCGUUUCUUAGUUUCAAUGUACUAUUCAAAAGCCAUUAGCAGAGUUGACCUUAUGUUAAACGUAUAGAAAUCCGCCUUCUUGCCCGGACUUAUAGAAUUAUCUCCACUCCAAUAGCUAAUGCGCCCUAUCAGAUUCUUUCACUAAGCAUCCCACCCAUAACGCGCUUCAUAGCAACAUGAUUCUCUUUCGUCGUUGAGAUACGACUAUCUACGAGACUUUAUACCCUUGUCAAACUCAACAAGCAAUGUCUGAGUUCCUAGCGUUAUGAGCUAUUUGAAUGUUAGCGAAUGGUUCAAGUGCUGUUUAGGUGGGAAAUGAAAGUUCCUAGUAAAGAUCUAGGCUCUUCCAGCAAGAUGAGAAGCUUUAGGACGAGCGAGUCACGAUAACGGUAGGGCUGGCAAUACUUAACGCUGAAUAAUAAAUGGAAUCUUUCUCUCUUCGUAGAAGCAGAAGAUCAACUCUGUAAGCACAAGUAAAGUCAAGUAAGCUAACUCGUAACUUGCUUCAAAGCUCACUCCUAAUGCAUAAAUCAAUGAAUUAACUGAUGCCAUGCCGGACGUACUAGUUCUUGUUGGGCAAAGCUCCCUUACUAAACUUAGUAUUCUUGGGACUGACAUUACUUAACGCUUCAGAAUUCAUAUAUUAUUGAGAGCCCCUGUAUAUAAAAGAGUCAUAUUACCGCUCCUUGGGUCUAUACCAUUUGUUUGCCGUUGAGGCUCCGUAAGCACCAUUGCUUGUUCGCACAACUCAUUCAUGUCAAUUUGACGUUAGCACUGAGUCUGAUCCUUCUCUUUUGACUUCAACUUAAGAAAGAGGACUUUUUGCAGUUUCUUCUGUCUUUGUUGGCGCAAGUGUAGUUAGAGUUUUCUCUGAUAUUCAUUAUUUGCCGGAAUCAUAUCUUACAGGCAAGUAAGCAAGCAAGGUUGGUAGUCCCCGAAGCCUCAUCUCAUGCCCAAGCAAGAACGAAUGGAAGCCGAAUCUCAUGCCCAAGUCUAGGUUAAGCGGUAAUGCCCACUACUUUGUUAGGCGAAAGAAAAGAGUAAGUAGAGGUGUAAGGAAGCAAAGCGGUGAGUCACGAGUCAGGGGUUCAAUGGCAUUCAUAACUUCCUGUUUAGUUUCUUGUGGGGCGAGGAAAGCAGCUCACUGCCCAACUUAUAAUAUUUCUUGCACCUAAGCAUUCUGUCCUCUCUGUAUAUACGAUGAUAUACGACAACAACACUUGAAACCCUAACUCUCUUCCCUAACGCGCACAGCUGAAGAUAUUGACCUACUCCCCCUACUUUGGCUUAUGAUUCAUAAGAUGUUCUUGAUCCCCAGCUUCUUUAUACUCGAACAGAACCGCUUGCAGCUUCAUCAGAUCCUUUUUAUGCUCAAGCAUCAUAUCUUUCCACUACUUCUGCUCUGGAUAAGGCUUCAUAUCUUUCUUUUAGAUGUGGAUUUUCCUGGCACAGCGGAUUCUGUUGUACUUGAUUCUUACCUUAACUGCUACACAACACCAGUACUAGAUUAUUACCUACCUGAAUCCAGCUUUACUGAUUAACUUACGGUUUUCCAAGUAAGCUACAAGCGACGGAAGCGGGUCAUUCUCAAUCUCAAUAAGGAUGAUUAGCUAUCUUUGUCACUUCCUACCUGUGAUAAUAGAGGGAAGUAAUCUAACUCCGAAGCGUAAGCACAACAAGUAAAGUCAAUAAGCCUCACUUGCCCCUAAACUCAAAAGAGAGAAUUGGAUCUCAAUAGCAGCAACUUAUGGAUUAUAGUAACAAAACACUUCUUUGCAUCGCCACAAGCGCACAACGUAGAAUUCCCAUUAGCCGACACCCAUCAUAGGAAUUGCCCCAACGUUAGCUUCAUCUUGAGAUUGUACACUUGUUGAUUUGCUUGUUUCAAACAGGAAUCCAUCUAGCUUUCUCCCGUUAGCGCCCCGAACUCCC
rnacentral:lncRNA from 1 species